UUAAUACUCCCUCCGUCCCCAAAUAGUUCUCAUAAAAAUGGAUGUAUCUAGAUGUAGUUUAGUUCUAGAUACAUCCUUUUUAUGCAUUUGUGCGACAAGUUAUUCCGGAUGGAGGGAGUAUAUG
rfam:Hordeum vulgare subsp. vulgare, WGS project CAJW01000000 data, contig: morex_contig_134875